AUUCCCUUAGUAGCGGCGAGUGAAAAGGGAUAAGCCCAGCACUGAAUCCCAAAAGCUUUUGCUUUUUUAGGGAAAUGUAGUGUUUAAGAGGGUCCUUAAUUUUCCUAAAGUAUGUACAUCGAGUCCAAGUCCAUCUUGAACGAGGCCACGGUCCCGAGAGGGUGCCAGGCCCGUGGUUGGCCUUUGUCUACUUUAGGGGGGCCACUCUUUAGAGUCAGGUUGCUUGAAAGUGCAGCCCUAAGUAGGUGGUAAACUCCAUCUAAGGCUAAAUCCUACCACGAGACCGAUAGCAAACAAGUACCGUGAGGGAAAGUUGAAAAGAACUUUGAAGAGAGAGUUCAAGAGUACGUGAAACCGUUUAGGGGUAAACGGAAAAGACCCAAAAUAUCUGAAAAGAAAGAUUCACGUCUAUUUGUUUACCUAUCAACUUGAUGCAAGGACAGCAUUUCUCCCCGUUUGGCUUGACCAAUGCGGUGGAUUAUGUUGCUUUCUUCUGGUUGUUCUGGUGACAACAGACCGCACUUCUUUCUUGGUAAGACGUCGCGAUCUGUUCGAAAGCAAUUAUGUGGGCUGUUGUUGUGUCUGCUAAUGGGCUCUCAUAUUUACUAUGAAUGUUCUUAGUAGCACAGCAGAAUCCAAAUUGCUUAUAGAACAGUAUAAGAUUUGGUGUUGGAUCGCUUGUUUCAAGCGUUUUUGGUUGCUAGCAAGUAGUUUUUUUAUUGUUUGUGUCAGACUUUUAGUCUGAUCAGAUUUUAAUAUUAAUUAUUCGCUGGUAAUAACCUCAAACAGUAUUCAUUGCACCAAUCGGCGGCGAAUUAGUUUUGGGCUCUUGUCCGACCCGUCUUGAAACACGGACCAAGGAGUUUAUAGUGUACGCGAGUCUUAGGGUUAUUAAUACCUUAUAGGCGUAAUGAAAGUAAAAGAAAUUUUUCUUUCUGAAGGAGGAUGAGUGGUUUGUUUUAACUAACGCUACUUCGCACUCCUGGGGCGCUUCUUACUCAAUAUGAGUUAAGGCGCACCUAGAGCGUACACAAUAAUACCCGAAAGAUGGUGAACUAUGCCUGGCCAGGACGAAGCCAGGGGAAACCCUGGUGGAGGUCCGAAGCGAUUCUGACGUGCAAAUCGAUCGUCGGAGCUGGGUAUAGGGGCGAAAGACCAAUCGAACCAUUUAGUAGCUGGUUCCCUCUGAAGUUUCCCUCAGGAUAGCUAACGCUUCCGUAUAAAGACGAGUCUCAUCCGGUAGAGCGAAUGAUUAGAGGUAUUGGGGUCGAAACGGCCUCAACCUAUUCUCAAACUCCAAAUAGAUGAGAACCUCGGCUUGCUUAAAAGUGAAGCCGUGGGAGUCUUUAAAUGGAUCAGAGUGUUAAGUGGGCCAUUUUUGGUAAGCAGAACUGGCGCUGUGGGAUGAACCAAACGUGGAGUUAAGGCGCCUAAAUCGACGCUCAUGUGAAACCAUGAAAGGCGUUGGUUGCUUAAGACAGCAGGACGGUGGCCAUGGAAGUCGGAAUCCGCUAAGGAGUGUGUAACAACUCACCUGCCGAAGCAACUAGCCCUGAAAAUGGAUGGCGCUGUAGCGUCGUGCCUAUACUCCACUGUCAACGGCAAAGCGGGCAACACUUUGUAGAAUUUUUUCUAUAUUGUGGAGCGCCGUUAAGCCUUGACAAGUAAGAGGGCUGUGGCGAUGGCGCAGAAGGGUCUGGGCGUAAGCCCACCUGGAGCCGUUGCCACUGCAGAUCUUGGUGGUAGUAGCAAAUACUCCAGCGAGGCCCUGGAGGACUGAUGUGGAGAAGGGUUUCUUGUGAACAGCUGUUGCACAAGAGUCAGUCGAUCCUAAGCCCUAGGAGAAAUCCGAAACGACAGGUAGCUGUUAAGUUUAACAACUGUUGGCACCGGUCUGGGCAAAAGGGAAUCCGGUUCCUAUUCCGGAACCCGGCAGCGGAACCGUUCCAAAUCGGGCCCUCAUUGAGGACUCGUCGGGGUAACCCGAAAAGACCCGGAGACGCCGUAGAGGAAAUCGGGGAGAGUUGUCUCUUCUCUAUAAGCGUUCGUGUUCCCUGGAAACCUCUAGCAGGGAGAUAGGGUUUGGAACGCAAAGAGCACCGCAGUUACAGCGGUGUCCGAAUUUUCUUUACGGACCUUGAAAAUCCGGGAGAGGGCCACGAGGAACCCCGCGCCGGAUCGUACCCAUAUCCGCAGCAGGUCUCCAAGGUUAAUAGCCUCUAGUCGAUAGAAUAAUGUAGGUAAGGGAAGUCGGCAAAUCCGAUCCGUAACUUCGGGAUAAGGAUUGGCUCUGAGGAUCGUGGCGAGCCGGGCUUGGUGGGGAAGUGGAGCGGUGUCAACGAGCCGGGCCUGGGCGAGGAGAAGAGUGUUCGCACUCGAAUCUAAGCUCGGUCCCGAGCCUUGGCCACCCACGGAUCUUCCUUGCUGCGAGCUGUUUUCUGUUGGCAGUUGGUUUAACUAAUUGUCAUGGAAUUCAGUCUCUUCGGCCGCCAUUUAACGA
rnacentral:rRNA from 1 species